AAGUGCCCUUUGGUAUAUAAAGCAACACUUGGGAAUUUCCCGUCCCAUUCCACAUCUGGCAUACUCGUAGACACCUAGAAGAGAGCCAGAGAGAGAGAAAGAAAGAGAGAGAAAGAGAGGGAGAGAGAGAUACAAUGACAACGAUGGAGAAUGGUGGUGAGAUCACGUAAUCGCGACCACAAUCGCGAUCUUGACCCCAAGACCUUUGUUUUUUUUGCUGAAGAAGAUCGCGUGGUAGAAACUUCUCAACGGUUCAACCCUUGAAGAUCGUUGCUUCUUAACGCUAAUAGAGAUGUUCAUGAAGUUUGGGCAUUUUUUUGUGAGCUGAUUGAACAUAUGAAGGCCAACUUUUUGUAUAUUGUAGUAUAGUGCUAAUGUGGUAGUAUACUUGGAUACCACAAAAUGUAAAAAGCAGAUUACCAACAGUUUUUUUUGGCCUUGUCUUGGAUACCACUUUUUUGUAUAGCAAUAUAGGCCAAGAUGGAUUCAGUACUUUUGUGACCCAGUAUUGGAUACAACUUUUUGUAAAGCCCUGUUAUGUAAUUUGGUUGACAGUAAACUUGGAACUAAUGCUUUGGCUGAUAUUUGGAUGAAUGAAAUUUGCAUAUGAUGGGAAGAAGUCUGCAUUUCAUUAACUUUGAGUUGUAUUCCAUGCUUGGAAGUGCACAUGGCCAUGGACAGUUGGAUUACAUGUUUGGACACUUGCACAUGGCAAAGAAGUCUAUGGGAUUGAGCAACACAUGUUUUAGGGGGGAAAAAGGAGAAGAGAAUGCAGAAAUUUGAAGUGAGUUGCUAUUAAUAUUUGUAGCAAAUGUGAAAUAUGAUGGAAAAUGGGUUCCUAUCUUUAAUUUCUCAUGGUGUAUGCUCUGUUUUCCUUUCCUUUCUGUUUCCUGGGUGUUCAAUUUGUGAGAUGGAGUUGGUGUGGGUCAUAUUUACAACAAAGGAGGAUGGGUGAGGGUAGUAAAGGUAUAAUAAAAGUUUGUGUGGGGUGACAUCAUCUUUUCCAUCCAAUUUCCAACUGAAGUUUAACGGAAGGGGGUCCUUUGGUAUUGUCAGCCAAAGGAGGGGAGGGCAGUGAUAUUUCAGAUACCUCAGGGGAGGUAUCUGUCGGUGUCAGAAACCUCAGGGGAGGUCAGUGAAAUUUGCCCUUUUAUAAAUCAUUGUACUAGGGCCCCUCAAACUAACACUUAAACAAGUAAUUAGGUCAAAAAAAAUUCUCACACUUAUUUCACAACACAUGAGAGCCUCCCAAGACGCUCAAUCACAAAUUCGAACACGAUCAAGUGAAUGUCUACACAUGUACUAAUAUGCACAGCUAUAUUCAAAAAAAAUCCAUGACUUGUAAAGUUCAUUUCACAUUAGGAAAAAUAUUUAAUAAAUAAAGUUAGACACGAGUCCCUACAAAAUAAGACUCAUGGAAGUGAUUUUUGAAGUAGUCAAGGUGUGCAUGGAGCUUAAUCAUAGUCCUUCCUCCACAGCUGCCAAAUAAUUGAGACCCGUUGUCGCCAUUGAUGUUCAUGAACACCAUUGAUCGCUGCUAGUCACUCGAUCCACCAUGUUAAGGAUUUUACUCUUAUCAUUUGGAAAAAUGGAAUAGAAUAAUAUUACUCCAUAAAAUCGAGAUUGAAUCAUUUGAUAACCCACGAAGCAUGAAUCCUACAAUUCAUGUAAGUCUGAAUAAAUUUAUUCGAUCUUGUAUAUAGCAUCCAUCUGAAGGAGGUUUGCUUGUGCCGCUCGAGAGUGAACACUCAGCUUGAAAGGACCCCGAGCUAACAGUGUCCAUAGAACAAACACGACACCACAAAAACCAGGGAUAGAUGCAAGAUUAUUUUCUCCUGCUUUCAAUUAGAAAGAGAAGUCCAUUUUUCAGCGCGCACACUAAUUCCUACGAUGGACGUCCCUCUCCAACUACCAGUUCAUUGAUUGGUAGUAUCGUCGAGACAACAAAUUGUAAAAGAAAAUUGCCGAUCGAAAAGGAAAAUAGAUAUAACGAGAAGCCACGCCAUUGAUAAGAGAAAAAAAGAAAGAACAGGCUGGAGGGACAACCCGACCACCAAGCCCACCCGAUCUAAGGUUCAAGGAAAUAUCUGAGAAACAAAUGCCCAAGCCCCCUAAGCUGUUUAAGGCAAGGAUGAGAUUUAUCCUUUAGUCUGACCCCAAGAAGUUACUAUAAUCAACUGUUUCAUUAGAUCAAUAUUAAUCCUGUCCAAAGAACAUUUUAUUUUUUCAUAUCGCUAGAAAAACAGUCUGUACUUGAACAAAUGCAACUGAAAUGACAAAAGUACAGUGUUCCACCAAUUUUCAACUGAAGCAGCUUCCAGUGACUAACAAGUACAACAAAACUUGCCCCAACUGAUUCUUUUCGUCUACUUCAUUUGAGGUUGUCAAGCUGCUUUUCCACUGAUUUUGAUAACACAGGUAACACUUUUUGGAAGGUAAGCAAGCAUUUUGCUUUCGAAAGCACAACUCCAAUAACAGCUGAAUCCCAGGCAUUACAACCGAGAGCACAUCGAAAACUCUUAUGCCAUGUUGCUCUGAAAUCUACAAUCUGCACCUUCUGCUUACCCUUUAAUCCAUCUCACAUAUUGCAAGAAGGGGAAGCCUUUAGCAAUACCACUUUUAUCAACUUUUUGAAAAAAUUAGUCACUUAAUAAACAACUCAACCAUGGCCACUUGCUUAUCAAAAAAAAAAAAAAAAACCUCAACCAUGGCCACCAAUCUAAAGCAAAUUGCAGAAGCUUCGUCGUGUGCAUGGAACUUGUCCUGUGCUUGAACCAUCCUCAGAAACACAUCUCAAAAUAACCGCAAUCGCUGAAUCAAUAAACCUGCUCUAUACAAAGACACAAAAUCUCUGCAUCUGAACGACACCCAAUCCACUGACAAUUUCACACAACCUAUUUUUCUUCAUCUAGUUCAGGUAAUGCAACAUCUUCCCUCAUCAGACCAGCGUAAUUUUCCCCCCCACGGGCCCUAGCCUGUGCAAACAGCUCCAUCACUGCCGGCAACUUCCGUAAUAUCUCUUCAAACUAUCUACCAGAACCCCGCCACCCUGUAGAUCUCAUACAUGCCACACAUACACAGGAGGGACAAGAUCGUCAACUGUUGCCUCCUGCCAGGCAUGUUGCCCGUCCCUCAUCUGAUGCUCGUAUGCUGGGCAUUGCCUCACCCAAUGCCCCUUGGGCCCCACUUGAACCUCAGGACAAUACCCACACGUGUGGACAGCAUAUUUCUCCAUGAGCUAGCUCCUCAUCACAUCUUCUCCCAUGCCGCCAUGCCUCGGACAGUGUGGGUAAUUCUGUACAAACGUGUGCCUUCAUUCAUUUUCCUAAUAGUAUCAGAGAGAGAGAGAGAGAGAGAGAGAGAGAGAGAGUAUUGGCAGGUACACUAGAGCAACAAAAAGAUGAAUUAUUGUCAUUUUUUGGCAUUGGCAACCCAUUUGGCAUGUGCAUUGGAAGUACAGUCAAGCAAAACAAAAGAGAAGACUGAAGUGAUCUGAUACCCUAAAUCAAUUGUCUCAAGUGUCAACCUAACGACCUUAUAAUGAAAGUCAUAAUAAAAUGGUCAAACUUUUAAGAGAAGAUGCAUUUGUUGAUAUUACGUCUGGAAUAUAAGAACGUCAAGAAGACACACCUUGUACGUUAUCAUGAUAAGGGAAAUUUAAAGACUUCUCAUCUUCAUUUAACUUCUGUGUUUUCUCCCAGAAACAUUAUGUUUUGAUCUCAGCACAAGACGAAUCAUCCUUGGGAAACCUCCGCUUGAAAUCUAACAUCCUCCCAGCAACACAAUAAAUAGGGAACUCUUCUUCUUGUUGGGUAUUUGGGAAUGUCCACACCUGCUACACAACUCCAUGAGUGCUGGUAUUCGAUCAACUAGAAGUCGCUCAUUAUGCAAAACAGCUCUCCCCAAUCUGUCAUACAGAUGAGAAGACUCCACGAGAGGCAUAACAUUCUCCACAGCACCUCUUUCCCAACAGUGUUCUUUGUUAGUUGGGCUACCAAUGACGUUGCAUGUUUUUAUCUUAUGUGGAGAAUGACCUACGGCUACAUGAACUUCACCGCACAAGCUGCACAAAAUUCGCCAUUAUAUGCUGUACAAACUGAAAAGAUAGGAGCAUAUCCAGGCAAGAUAAAUUAAUAAUUCACUGCCAGUACACAGUUCUUAAUCAAUACUUUAACUUUCAACAGAGAAUUCAGCUUGUUGACAUCACACUUUCCUCAACUGUGGGUAAAUUUCCAAGAAGAUGGCAAAAGGGGGUAUCUCGGAAAAGAAAAGACAAGUCACAAUCACUCUAAACAACGACCUGUAAAGCUUUGAUGCGGUAUGGAAAAGGUGACCAAGGGUAUUCCAGUAACUUAACUAUCAUUUGGUCUUGGAGGGUAACGAUUGCCCAUGGGUCCACCUGGGAUAUUGGCUACGCAUGGGCUAGAUUCUUAGAAGUGUCUUUUGGGUUCUAGUCAAGUCAAAAUGUCUCUUUAAAUUCUAGUCAAAGUCUUUACGGUCAAUUAGUGAUGUCAUUAAUGUUAAAUGUAGUCGAAAAGUCAAUUAGUUGAUCAAAGAGUCAUAAGUUUUCCCAUGUCAUUAAUGCAGUCAAAGAGUCUAUGUUCAAUUUGUCUUUGGGAGUCUAAAGUUAGUUUGAAGGUUUUUUAUUUUGUGAAGUUCUAGAGUCAAGUGGAAAUGGGUAUAAAUAAGGCUGCAAGCCUUAUGGCAAAUCAUGAUUGAAUGAAUGAAAAUUUAGCUUUAAGGUUUUACGAUUGUGUGAUGCAAUCCCAUUCUUUGGUGUGAUGCGAAAGAGGCCUUAGGUCUGAUGCCUUUGAUAACCUAGGUGUGAGGCCUAGAUCUAUCCUUCCCCAACCCUUUCUCUUCUUCUUCUUACAAAUUACAAUCCACGGAUUACUAUUCACAACUCCAAAAACAUCUUUCUUGAGUUUGAUCAUACUUAGCCCUAUUCCAAAUCUGUCCUACAUCAAGCUUUUCCUUUUUAAUAGAGUUACUGACAAGAAGAUAUGUUUUCAUAUCUAAAAGCAGCUAGGCAUCAUUCUUAUGAGAACAGAUACGGAUAUAAAUGAAGGAUACUAAUACAAACAAAAAUGGCAACAAUUCUUCAUUUUUACAUUCCAAACACACACAUAUCCCUCAAUAUCAGCACAACAAGAAAACACUUUCCGCCUUCUAUAUUUAUGAUUUAGACUUGAGGGUUCCUAAAACUAGAAGAGCUAAAGGCGAACUUGUGUGGAAUCAUAUUACUUUCGUUGUCAUUAUUAGAUCCCCAAUUCAAUUCUUCAAACUUUCCCGUGCUUCAAGUGUGCUUAAGUGAUCAGAUGCACAUUCCACAAGUAUUUUGAGUGUCCGUCAGGAUCUAAAAAGGAGAGAAAAAAAGAGUAAAAGUACUAUGUGUCGUGUGACAAGUCAGUGUCUAUCACCGGCACGGUGCCAUCUAGAAGUGUUUGUGCUUCUUAUGAUCUAUCUUAUCAAUCGAUGUACAUUUGGUUGAAUUAGUUCUUCAUCUUUUAGACAUUCACAACCAAUCACACAUACCAUGCUUAAUCAACUGCAAUAGAAGCAGCUCCAAAGCCAUGGCUCUUGGGUGGCAAUGCCUAGUAGAAUAUGUAAGAAUGGCUAUUACCUGCAUACGUGGAUUGGGACAUUUGCGGCAAUCCUUGAAACACAAGACAAUAACACAGCUCUGGCAGCAAAAACCUCGUGUGCAACUGGGACUAAUCCUUUCCAUUUUCAGGGGGUUUCAGAGAAACUUCUUGGACCACUUUUCUCUCUUGUUUUUCCGAUCUAGCUCUACGCUUAAGUUCGUUAAUACUUGUUACCCAUGGCUUCUGCUCAGACUUCAUAAGCUUCCUUGGCAACCCUAUAUUACUCAACCCAGAUGUGAACAAGGCACAGAGAUGAUCUAACUCCUUUAUGCCAUCUAGAUUCACAACAGAGUUCUGCAUAAUGUUUCUAACUCAGUCUAGCAAACAUGUCUGCUCCCAAGAGUCUGUGCACAACAGUGUAACAAACCAUUGGAAAAGAGUUACUGAAAAGUACUCGAAAGCAAAAUCGGCAUAUGCUGUUCUGAUUUCAAAAGGUCAAAUACUUAAGAGCUCUGAUGGACGUAGAAAGGAUUACUUCCACCACAUGUUACAAUAAUCAUUAUAACACCAAUUUCUGAUAAUAAGAACACAAAAUACUGGUUCUUAUUAUCUUUUGAAGUUCAUAUAUGCUCCAGAGAGAGAAAAUAAAAAUAAAAAACCAAUCAUGUUACACGAGUGCUUUUGCUCUACCUUUUUCAAAUCACCCAAUAACGUCAUUGAAUUUGAUAAUCCAAGAAAAAUCAUAAAUUUUUCAGACAUAGUCAUACAGGAAAAUAAAUUGAGUCACGUAACCACCACCCCCACUCUAAACACACUGCCCACCACGUAACAUGCUAACAGUGCAUCUCAAGAAAUGUCGGAUUCUAUACCAAUUUCAUUCAUUUACUUAAUAACUAAAUCAACAAAAUUUGCAACUCAAGGUACAGGAUUAUAAAAUAUCUGAAAUUAACAAACAUCUGUUACCAAUUAUGAGUAUAUUCUGUAUGAGAAACAGAAAAAGAUUUUGGCUAAUCAAUUGAAAUAAAUUAACAUUAGGAAAUUUUUACAAACCAAUUUUGUACUUCAAAGUUGUUACUUUUUUUGAAUGGGUUUUUUUUUUUUUCUUUCUUUUUUGAGCGGCCUUCAAAGUUGUUACUCGCAUACAAGUUACCGUUACCGAUUAGCUGGUCCAUAUCCAGCACUCCAAUGAUACAGGUAAGACAACAAUGGCUAGGCUCUUUAUGUGACACAUGUUAUCAAACGCUUAGGAUACAGCAGUGUCUUGUAGCUUAAAAUUACUAGCAAAACAAGGAGAGAAACAAACCUGAAGAAAAGAUCCAUUCAAACCAAAUAAAAAUAUAGAAACCACAAAUACACAUCCUACUCAAUCAAAACGUCCAAAAACUUCACACAAAAAAUAAACUGAAACACUUUAGUGGGUUAUGUGAAAGAGAUCAUCGGCAUCCGAAACACGUCGUCUAAAGAUUGUGGUAGCCGGCAUUGAAAUGCUGUCGGCUCGGCCAUUAGAACUUGGUUGUUUCCAGAGACAAAUGCACCAUUUCGAGACGGUGGCGAAAAAGGAUGAAAUACUCCAAAUUACGGCUUAGAUACAGCUCGAAAUCCAUAUACAUAAAUCUACUAAUGC